UCAUUUUCUCUAAGAGUGUUCAAUGGGAAAUACUUCAUUUUAUGUUUCACUAGGAAAAAGAUGGAACACUUGUGACAGAAAUACCAAAGUGCUCUCUUUCAAUGCCAAUUUUCAAGAAUUAUUGUGCUCAACCACGUUGCUCUACUGUAAAAUGGCCAGAUACUGCUUUCAUUUCCCAUGCCAGUAUUUCUCUACUAAAACACUCUUAUCUGAAUGGUUGUCGUGAAUUUGAAAAGAUUCUCAUUGUGGCUAGCCAUCCCAGAUGUAAGAAAGGUAUGUUAUGAUUUGCAGUGUCUCUUCCGAAGAUUCUCUCAGAAAAAUAUGCUAAGCAAUCAACUUAUGAAUCAUAUAAG